GUAGAUCGCGCCAAACGAGAUCAUCGCCACCCAGCCGAGCGCCCCGGCAUGGACAUGGCCGACGGUCCAGUCAGUGUAGUGUGAGAGCGAGUUGACGGAGCGGAUCGCCAGAAACGAUCCCUCGAAGGUUGUCAGUCCGUAGAACACCGCUGCCACCAUCAUGAAACGCAGCGUGGCGUCGUCGCGAACCUUGUCCCAGGCGCCGUUCAGUGUCAGCAGCGCGUUGGCCGCAGACGCCCAUGACGGUAUGAGUAACAUCAGCGAGAA
rnacentral:misc_RNA from 1 species